rnacentral:rRNA from 1 species
AUGUCGUCCGCAGGCCUAGCUGAAGCUUCAAUCCUGGCUACAUUGAAAAAGCUCUUCAAGACUGAUAGCGUCACUGGCGUUGCCAGCGUGGAGCUGUGGGUGUUGCUGACAACGCUGCUGCUGGUGGUGAGGUUCGUGCUGGAUUGCUUCGGGCCGUGGCACGCGGAAAGGUCUAUGGCAGCCACUGUCCGAAUCAUCGAGAUGCUGAAUUACUCCAUGGUGCACUACACCUUGGGGCUGAUGCAGCUCUCGGCGAAGAAGGUGAAUGACUACUUUCAGGUCUGGGCGGUGCUGCUGGUAACCCUGCAGUACAGCGUCAAGACUGGGCGCCCCUACCGGAUGUCCAAGCAGAUCCCGGUGCUGGAUCUCAUGUCCUCUUUCUGGGCAGCCAAUCUCAUCCGGAUACAGACCUUCUUCCUUCUCAGGAUUCCCCUCUGGUUGAUCUGGGCGCUCAAUGCGAUACGCAUCAUCUCAUACUUUGCUUCAUCUGAUAGGGCUGCGACCAUCAACCAAGAGAAUACAAGGCUGGUUAGCGACUAUAUGCGAUACGAGCACACACUCGGUCCCUCUGGCGAUGCAGCCGAUUCUGACAAUGGGAUCAGGAUGCAGUCGUACAAGUACCUGGUCUCUGGGGAAGACCUGGUGCUACAUGAUGCCCAACGGGAGAGGAAAUCUGCAUCAGCACAAUACAAGAUUUGGUUGGAUCCGGAUAACAAGAAGCUUGUCACCGUAGAGAAGAUAUGGAAUGUUGAUUCUGGCAGCAGUCGGUUGCUGGGCGGUACCAAUGACACUGGCAACCGACUGAAGGAUGUCUGCCUCUCACUCGUACUGUACAAGCUGCUGCGCCGUCGGUUCUAUAAUCUCCCGAUACACGAGGCUAGCCAUGAGAAGACAAGGCGGCUCGUCUUCGACUACAUCCUGCAGGAGAACUCCAACAACUAUGAGAGGGCAUUCCGUGUCACAGAGGUGGAGUUGUCCUUCCUCCAAGACUUGUUCUAUAGCAAGUAUGCUGCCAUGUUUGCGGUUGGAUUCCCGGUCUUGAGUAUGCUCAUGUCUCUGUCUCUGGUUGGGGCUACUGGAUACCUUGCAUUUCCCGUCAGUUAUAUACCAGAGAGGAUGGACAAGGCCGACAAUAAUAUCAUCACUCAUGGGGUGGCUGUCACUCGCGUCAUAGUUGGCCUUAUAGUUGCCAAGGAGCUGUCAGAGGUCUAUCUAUAUGUGUUCUCCAAUUGGUCUAAGGUCCUGAUGAUUUGUAUGUAUGUCAAGCAUCGGUGCUUGCGGCAUCCAGUUGUGGAGGCAGCAAUGAGAACAGUUUUCUGGCCCAUUGGGGGUAAGUGGAACCAGAAGAUCUCACAGUGCAACCUUCUGAUUUCUUAUUCACGCAAUAAGCAGAAAUUAACCCAAAGGAUCAAGUUGGAGUCACAAGUAAAGACAGCGAUAUUUCAGUCAUUCAAGGGCCUGCAGAAGCAUCCAGAGAGGUUGGGAUCCUACUUCUUAAAUGCCUUUGGAUCAAAGGAAGGCCUUGUGAAGCAGCUAGCAUGGGCAGUUGAACUGGAGGCUGAUACCCACAGGAUACUGGUCUGGCAUGUCGCGACAUGCUUAUGCGAGAUAGAUAUCUCUGCCGAAGUGAUAAAACGGAAGACUGUACGGCGUCAAAAUAGUAGGCUCUUGGCGAAGAAAUCAACAACUAAAGCGGAUGUGUGGCCACAUUACUUAACUGCUAGCAGCUUAUCAAACUACUGUGCAUACCUGCUUACCAUAGCAUUGGUGCCUGACAACGGCAUUGUUGUUACAAAGGUCUUGCAUGCGGUACGUUGUGAAACCUAUCAUGCUACUGGCCGCUCUGCAUCCCAGUCGUUGCGAGAUGUCUACGAUAAACUUAUGGAGAUUGCCAUGAAGCACUCUGAAGAGUCUGAGGAGGAAGUGGCCAAUGGAGUGGGUGAUGCAAUGGGUCAAGUAGCCCCUGAAAGUGCAGUAAUCCAUGAGGAAAUACUCAAUGUCCAGAUGGCUAAUGAUGAGGAAGAUCCUAAUACAGCGAGACGUGGUGAUGCCACUAACAGUUUCAUACCAGCUACCAAUAGGGAAGGUACUUUUGCCGGUGACGAUGACAUCCAUGAUUCCAUAAUACAGAUGGGGGCAAAGCUUGGGAAGCAGUUGAUAGAGGCUUAUGGAGAAGAUAAAGUAGGCCUAUGGAGGGAUCUAGCAGUGUUCUGGACAGGUUUCCUCCUCAACUUGGCAGCAUCAACCAGAGCAGCCAAGCAUAAGACACGGCUUGUUACAAAAGGGGAGCUCAUAACACACCUGUGGGUUUUGCUGUCUCAUGCUGGGUUUCUCGGAAACACCAGGCACGGGCAAACACUCUUAGACCCACAUGAUCUUGAUGAGAUCGACCCGCUCAGCUGA